rnacentral:rRNA from 1 species
UACGAAGGGGGCUAGCGUUGUUCGGAAUUACUGGGCGUAAAGGGCGCGCAGGCGGCCGCUCAAGUCAGAUGUGAAAGCCCCGGGCUCAACCUGGGAACUGCAUUUGAUACUGAGUGGCUAGAGUUCGGGAGAGGUGAGUGGAACUGCGAGUGUAGAGGUGAAAUUCGUAGAUAUUCGCAAGAACACCAGUGGCGAAGGCGGCUCACUGGCCCGGUACUGACGCUGAGGUGCGAAAGCGUGGGGAGCAAACGGG